CUGGGCCCCCUCCAGACUGGGCCCAAAGGAGGCCUCAACUGUGCCAGGCCCCCUCCAGACUGGGCCCCGAGGCCCCGACUGUGCUGGGCCACCCUCCGGCACAGGCCCUGCCUUAAGCCCCGCCCCCCGUGGACAGCUGUGCUAUUUGCCUGCUUUGUUUUUUUCUCUCUCUUACCUCUUAUUUCCCUGUUCUCUCCGCAAAUGCAUUCAGAUCCCCGGGAUGGAGUGCGCUGAUACUGCUGCGUUCUUCCUGCACCAACUGUCCGGGCGGCUCAGCAUGUUCUACAGAACAGCAUGCCUUUGGAAAUGCUCGGAGUAUGUAGCCUGACAGCAAGAGCACACUGCGCUCUUCUGGCUAUUUCUCAACAUGUCAGAGGGACAGGAGUGUGCUCAGCCUUGUGUGGUUGCACGUAUGCAAAAAUCCCUAUCGCAGCUGUAAACAUCUUUGUUGUUCUGCUUUACAGCAGUAGUGUGUGACGAGAAGCCUACAACUAUCAAUUUAGAGGAGGUAAUUAAUUGUGACAGUUCCCCUUUCUUCUUCCCUUGACGAUGGAGGUGAUGGGGUUCUCCUAUGCUAUGUGCUGGUGUAAUACCUCUGAGCCUCAGUUUUGAUGGGUUCAGCAAAGCUCAUGGCAACAGGCUUUGGUCAGCCUCAGAUCUGCUGAUGAGAUAAAUAGAUGAUGAUAAGAGAGACCGAAAGAAAAAAACACGAGGCAAGAGUUGUUUUUUUCUUCUAGUCAGCACGCCAUCGCUAAAUCUUCCAUACUGUGACUUUUAUCUUGAUAGUGAUGAUCCCUUCACCUCACACGUUGAGCACAACGCUUUCUGUUGUGGAGAUUCCCACCAGUGACAAAGUAUUAGUGCCGCUUUUCUGCCUGUCUCUUUUUUGUCUGUAUUUUCUGGCAUGUGGGGAUUUCUUUUAGUGGCCCACAAGCACUUGCCAGAUAAGCAGGCAGUGCAGGAGGAGGCAGGGGCAAGAGGCAGGAGCAAGGGCAGAGUGGUUUCUUUGUUGCUAAAUGGAAUGACUGUAUUUUCUGCAUGUGGAUUUGCCAUAGUGCUUCUUACAAGGCCUAAGGGUGGGAUGAAAUGUGCCCUGAAGCAGGUGUGCUUGCAGGAAGGCAAAAGAGAAAUACAAAUCAUUUACCCCCCCAAAAAAUGCAAAUCAUUACCCAAAAGAGGGUAAUCCCAGGAAAAAGAGGGGACAGGAAAAAAUCUUUGCUAUUAACCCCAGACUUGAUGGGAAAGGAAAAGCUGAAGAAGCAGGUGUGCUUGGGGGUGUUCGUCUUCUAGACUGCACCCAGAGAAGGCGAAUGAUUCUGAUGCCGCAGUCUUGGAACUCCAGUCAGUACACAGCUGGAAGGAUUUCUGGGCUGAGAUGAAUUUCUCUCUCUGCAGCUGCUGAUCUAUUGGAUUGUGUGUUCUAGUGCACGAAAGCUUUUGGGCAUGAUUUAUCCUCACUAUACCUCACACUGGGUGGGAAAAGUUGGCAUUGGAUCUCACAUAGCAGCUUGUAACAAAGGUUGGACUUGCCAAUGCCUUCCACUGUCUCCACUCGUCCGGUGCCUCCUUGAAGCCUAUGCCUAAUCAGGAAAUCUUUUCUUAUUUCCUAGCUCUUGCGCAAUAAAGAAGCAUUUCAACCGCUGCUUCUUGCAGCAGUACAGUGUUUCCAAAGAGAGAAAAACACCACUACUGGCAUAAGCUGGAUUUCUGCUGUUGGUUGAGCAUGUGCAGUGGAAUUGCCAGGUCACAGCCUGAGCCAGUACGUGAGCACAUGAGUGCCUGGAGCUGGGGGAGCCUAGCUCCACCCUUCCUCUUUCUCCGUCCCAGCAGUGCUUCUGGGAGCAGUCAGUCCGCAGGGGGCUCCUCAGCCUCCCCCGCGCCCCCCCAGGCCCGUCCCCCCCUUCUUCCAGCGAUCCAGAUUUCGAAGCGGAGAAGGCUGUGUUCCUCAGCUCACCCCUUUCUUCCAAACUCUCGCUCGGAGGGGUGAGUUGAUUGCUCUUUCUUUGAUAGCUUGUCCUAUAGUGCCUAGAUCUCAAAGAAAGGCUCUGUCAUUGCCCUUGUUUGCUUUACAGCGUGUCAGAGGUCGGUCAUUGCUAGGAAAGCUUGUGCUUUAAAGCACCAGGUUGUAUAGAGAAGGUAAUUCUAAAAGCGAGCUUGCCAGUUCUUUUUUACCUAAGUGGUUUUUGAGCAAGGAAAGAUUGGAGAUGCUGUUUGCUCAUGGAAGAUGGAGAGGAGGAAAAGCAAGUAGGACGCAUGCUGUGCAUAGCCACUGCAUGCCACCUGCACCAUUUCCCCCCUGAACAAAGGAGGAGCAGCUCAGCGAGCGUGGCCUGGGCCAUCGAAGGGAACAUCCAAACAUCUGGACCAACACCAAAUGGCUUAAGUCCGUAUGUUCGUUGUUUCUCUGUUGUUUGUCUCACAUCCUUCUGGAAAGAAAGCAGGAGGAGACAGACCUCUGAUUUGAUCCUGUUGUGUGUGAUGAUUACGGCCAAGGGGCAGAAGUUGGUGCUUAGGCAGGGGUAAAGCUAGGAAAGCUAAGCCUCGUCGAGGAACGAGAGAUUAAAGUAGAGCUCAUUCUACAUGGCUGUUCAGCACCUUGAAGGUAUUUAUCGUGCAGCAGGAUCUGUCUGGCUGCAGGAACAUGGUCGGAUACGUUGAUUCCAGUAGAAACUCAGUAAGCAGCGGCGGUGUGUGCAAAGUGCUGAUUGUAAUGGACUUCUGCCGAGGUGAGUGGGGGCUCAGCGUGUCGCUCAGUGGUAGGUUUGGUCAUUUGCAGUGCUGACAGGAAAUGUGCAUGCAAGGAGUGACCAGAAGGGUUGGAGCCAGGGUCCGCCCCUUCUGAGACCCCCUUGAAGGACUGGCAGUGGAAGGGCAAGGGUAUGUCGCUGGAGAUCCCUGCAUACCUGAAACCUUCUGAAGUUAGGCAGCUUCUUUCCUUUCUUUCUCUGCCCACAGCUUUUGCAUGUGAGCAAAUCCUCACUUGCUGCAGCCUAGGACCUUGCUGUCAUUGCUGCGCUUUCCAUCACGUUGCAGUACCCAAGCAGGAGGCUUACUUCUCUCCUCCUGCACGGGCACAACCACUUCAAAGCAUCUCUUAAGAGAGAGAUUACCAGAUUACCAUUGUUCAACCAGUACUGGCAGCAAAGUUAUCACUUGCGAUCACUGAGCCAUUUCAGCACAUUUUUUUAAUAGGUAAAAAGUAUCAAGGGAAGAUUUCUGCCUUUACCUGGACGAACCUGUCCACCAUGUUCUGGGUCAGGCCUUCUGACUUCUUCUUGGCUUUGCUUAUCCUGUUGAACAAAAUUUAAACAAAUAAAGAAUGAGAAAUAACAAUAGGUGGAAGUCAGCAAACACUUGUUUCUCCCCUUUCACGCCCACGACAUCAUUCUUCACUUGAGAGUAAAGUUCACAUGGCAGCAGGUUUACUCCCUUACGCAGUGUGAUCCUACAGAGCGAGGUACGAGUUGGCUCCAUCAGCGCUCAACUCCACAGCACUGUCUACUGGGAAGAUGAGGGCUGCCCCUCAGAAAUGCUGAGACAAGCUUUGGUAACAAGAGCCCAGCAUCGCCGAGUUCAUGACCCAAACUUUUUGCAAAGCAAAUACGACAUUUCCUUCAGAGCUUCAUCUGUAGACCCACGUCACACUUUGACAUUUCCUUCGCUCCUUUAAUAAAUAUUCCCACUACAGACUUCUGACUUACACAAUGCUCCAAAAUCUUGCCUGCGCUGUUGAGCCUAACUCUCGCAUCAGGCUAACCCCAUUCUCAUACACAUAACGGCACCAAAAGCUGGAGCAGGUUAUGCCAGGCACACAAGCGUGACCGGAGAACAAGCUCCAAAGCAUACUGAGACCUGACGUGCUUCCUGCAAGGCUCUGACAGCGCCACUCUCCCCACUACUGGACACAGACUCCGUAAACUGCAUAGGCCAGAGCCAAGGUGGAAAAAAAUAAAAGCAGCUACUUGCUCCAGCAUCAUACCAUGCUGCCCCCUGGACCCAGCAUGGACCAAUUAAAGGUCAGCCAGGGGAUCGGGCCCAGUCAGCAUGGGCUGACGAACGGUAGAUCCAGUUUGACAAACCUGAUUCCAUUCUGUGACAAGGUGACCCGCUUAGCGGAUGAAGCACAAUCAGAUCCUGCCCAGCAGUGCUUCUGGGAAGAAAGCAUCCACCUCAGAGCACAGGACCUGAGAUUGUCCUCUGCUCCCCCCACCGCCACUGGGCUUCAGCACAGCUGUGCUGGGAUGUCCUCUGGAGUCAUACACACGAGCACAAGCAAUGCAUAUGCAAGACCCCUGGGAGGAGCUGCAGUACUACGUCACAUCAGGGAACCUGGGACAGAUGCAACACCUCAGCCUGAUGGGCACACCUCCUCCAGAUAAAAACAUCCCAGACAUUCUUCAAGAAUCUUCCAGUUACUUCUAGACAUCCAAGCCAGAUUCCAUGAAACAGCUGGGAGAUAAAAAAAAUGAAAUACAACUAUUUCAACGGCCCCCUGCCUCUUUGGUCCUUACCCUUCUG